CACAGGUAAGAAGGAGGAGCCAAUUUUCAGGCUCUAGGUCUAAGUAGUCUCGGUUGUAAUGAUUUGUGUCACUGCGUUAAUAAAUUAUUGACGAACUAAAAUUGGAGGAUUUUUAAAUGGAGCUCGGGAUGAUGACAUCGGGACUUUGGGAGGUUUUCGCAUUACAGAUGUUCCUCGGAUCAGUUCUCCACUCUGCUGAUUGGUCAGAUUGGUGUCACCUGAUCGGGACCCUCACCUGUAUCCUGUCCUCGGGCAGCUCCGUCUUCAUGGCCAGCAUCUCCCGGGCGUACACGUCGGGGUAAUGAGCCUCCUGGAAGGCCUUCUCCAGCUCCUCCAGCUGGUGGGAGGUGAACACCGUCCUGAACACAGCAGCAGACUCGAUCAUGUUUCAUUCUUCAUCACGUUUGAUCUUCUUCAUUACUGACAUCACUGAUUAUUUUAUUUACACUUCUAAGAAUUGUUCAUGACUGAAAAUUAAA